CCUACUGUGGUAUAUUUAAUAGAUAUAUAAUAAAAACAAAGAAAGAGAGCAGAAGAGACAAAGAAGAAACAUACGUUAUAUAACGCAACACCCAAAUCAAGAAAAGAAACGAGGAAGGUAGAGGGAGGAGCCUCAUAGAACCAGAGGACUAAACAAGGGAGGAGAGCCAAGCUGAAAAGGGGAACUGAGAAGAGCACACAUUCGAGAGAUUAGAGAUAGCCCAAGCAGCGAUGAUGAAAGCUUUCAUAAAAAAAGGCUGGGCAAACUGAACCUUGGCUUUCUGCAUCAUGAUGAAAAAUUCCACUUGAAAGUCCCAAAAGAAUUGAAGAGCGUGCUAGCAGCUCUCAGCAAAAGUUGCAGUCGAAGAACAGAUAAAAGGGCUUACGCGACCAGUCCCCUGAUCACGGAAGGAAACCUAUAACAUUGCUGAUUGUGGGGUAGGUAUUCAUCUAACCAGUCUAAUCUCAUUUAGUGAUAUUCUCUCAAGUGUUUUUCUUCCCCAACCACAUCCUUUCGGUGAGCAAAAUCAUGGCCGACACACUGAUGCAGUGACCCGUCUCGUAGCAAUUAAUACUACAAGACGGCCCUGCAGGCAGGUGCGAUGGUCUCGUAAGUGGGUGUGAUGACAUACGACCGAUGAGACAGGGCACACAAGACGAUCAGGUAGGCCGAGCAUGCCCACUCUCUGUGAUGAUGGCCUCGUAGUAGGAAUUUUUGGUACGAAUGGGACUGCUAUAGUUCUGGCAUGUACUGAUUGUAUAUGCAUCUCUCCUCCUACUAUAUAAAGGAGGGAAGACUAGGCUUGUAAAGGACAAAACUCUUUCUAUAACCAAGUUGAUCCCUGUCAUAAGAAAAUACAUAUGACGUAGGGUUGUUAUCCCACGAGAGACCUGAACCUUGAUAACCCCUUCUGUUCUUGAGUUCAUCAUCCACACAAACAC